GACGAACGCUGGCGGCGUGCUUAACACAUGCAAGUCGAACGAAGUGGCGAACGGGUGAGUAACGCGUAAUCAACCUGCCCUUCAGAGGGGGACAACAGUUGGAAACGACUGCUCAUACCGCAUACUGAAGGCUGGGAUUGCGUCUGAUUAGCGAGUUGGAGGGGUAACGGCCCACCAAGGCGAUGAUCACUAGCCUGUGUGAGAGGAAGAACGGCCAACGUGGGACGGAGACACGGCCCAGACUCCUACGGGAGGCAGCAGUGGGGAAGCUUCCGCAAGGGACGAAAGUCUGACGGAGCAACGCCGCGUGAGUGAUGACGGCCUUCGGGUUGUAAAGCUCUGUUAAUCGGGACGCGGUACCGGAAUAGAAAGCCACGGCUAACUACGUGCCAGCCGCCGCGGUAAUUC
rnacentral:rRNA from 1 species